GGGAGGACAGGAAGGCAUGGGAGGCCACACUGAGCAGGAAGGCCAGAGUCCUGGCGAGGUCUCAUGAGGGAUUGCAGUGGGGCACACGGCCCAAGCGCAAGGGAUGGGGAAGAACACAGAAAACUCCUGAUCCAGGAAGCCUGAGCCUUGCCGACCAGCUGAUCUGGGACGCAUCUCAGGCCAAAGGCACCAGGGACAAGUCCAGGAUACUGGAGAAGGGCAAGGACUCUGCUGCCAGCAGGCUGAAAUUGGACACCUGCCCAUGGGCGCCGGCUGCUGCCGUCCCUCAGGGCAGCUCCUCUCCAAGAACGCCAGCCUGCCCCUCCACCUCUCCCCAGCCAGGAACACCCUGGGCUCAGCUUCCCUCACCAAACCCCCAUGUAACUUUCUGGUUUCAGCCAUUGGCCCCCGUGUCCCAGCGGUCACCCUGUGGUUCGCUGCAGGCUCCUUCCCCUGCAGAAUGGAGUGGUGGGGGACUGCACUCCGUGGACAGUCAGCCAACAGGAUGUCCACCUGCACAGCGCUCGCGGAGACCGAAUUCCGCGUGCCUCCCGGCCUCUGGUUUCCUGCUGUGUGGACGGGUACCCCUCACCCCGUCGCAAGGCCGUUUGCUGCUGGACAUUCCGGGUCCCCACAAAUCCAAGUGCCAUCAGCCCCCUGUAGUCUCUGUGAACCUCAUGCCGGGACGACAAACCAGAUCCACAGUCAGAAUGACACCGAACACACGACACACAGACGAGGAAACCAUUUCCAUUUAAUCGAGAAGGACUACCAGCCCCUGGGUGUGUUAGUGACACUGUUUUCAUCUGGAAGACAGAACUGCUGGAGGGAGAUUCCGGAACCUCAAAUGCAACUUUUAACUCAGUGCACUACGUAUUCUGAAGAGCUUCCACAUCCCAGCACGUCCAGAAAAGGAAAGCACGUUUUUGUUUCUAAGGGUGAAAAAUUGUUAAUAUUCCUCCUUCUGGUCUUCCCAAAGAACUCAGAUAAAAGAAG